AUGCGUCGUUUAUUCUUUAUUGUGCGAUUCCCUUAUAAUAAAAUAUGUGGAACCCAGAUGACGCUGCAUGUUGGUCCGAGUUUGCUUACGACGAUCGUGACAGAAGAUCCCGCCACAACAGGACCAAGCAGCGAGCCCGGUAGGAGAAGGUAUCCUGGGCUUGGGAGGAAAUCAUGUCAGGACACGAAAGCCUUCCUUGGAAGCAGACGCAAGGAGAGAAGGGAGGACAGCGACGACCCCAGGGUUCGCGGCCACAGAGAAAGCCCAAAAGACAGCCCAUUUUUUGGGGUUUGGGGCACACGUGGUGGGCGGCAUACGGGGUGGGCGCCGGAGCUAGCGGUCGAGCAGCAGAGAGGGCCAAAGCCUGUGUGGGAGUCUAUAGAGGAAGGUAAUGAGAGAUACCGGAGAGAGGUUUUGGCAAGGAGUAUGCUGCAGCGCAUGUGCGCUGAAGAGCGCCUUCUUAGCCCGGCACCAUCUGUGCCAGCUCUACGCACCAAGUCUCCAGUACGCCUUCACAGCCCAGUACGUCCUGUGCCAGCUCCCCGCACUCGCCGUGCGAAGUGUGUCAUCGUUCCGGUACAAUUUGUGUCGGCUCUACGCACCAGGUCUCCAGUGCGCCUCCACAGCCCAGUACGUCCUGUGCUAGCUCCCCGCACUCGCCGUGCAGAGUGUGUCAUCAUUCUGGUACAAUUUGUGCCGGCUCUACGCACCAGGUCUCCAGUACGUCUCCCCAGUCUGGUACGUCCUGUGUCUCCUCCUCGCACUUGCCCUGAAGUGCGUGUCACCAGUCCGGUGCCAUCUGUGCCGGCUCUACGCACCAGGCUUCCGGUGACAGUUCACAUUCCAGAGCUUCCGGCGACGGUUUACAGUCCAGAACCUCCUGCGACGGUCCACGGUCCAGAACCUCCAGCUCCAGGGCAGGAGCUUCCCUCUGAACCGAUGCCCAGUGCAGGCACACCGUCCAGUCCUGCUCCAUGGCAGGAGCCUCCUUCUGCGCUGGUGCCCAGUCCA
rnacentral:lncRNA from 1 species